GACGAACGCUGGCGGCGUGCUUAACACAUGCAAGUCACGGGGGGCUCGCAAGAGCUAACCGGCGAACGGGUGCGUAACACGUGAACAACCUGCCCUCGUGUGGGGGAUAGCCAUGCUAACGCGUGGGUAAUACCGCAUACGUUCUUCUGGGGGGAGUCCCCGGGAGAGGAAAGCUCCGGCGCACGGGGGAGGGGUUCGCGGCCUAUCAGCUAGUUGGUGCGGUAACGGCGCACCAAGGCGACGACGGGAGCUGGUCUGAGAGGAUGGCCAGCCACAUUGGGACUGAGACACGGCCCAGACUCCUACGGGAGGCAGCAGUCGGGAAUCUUGCGCAAUGGGCGAAAGCCUGACGCAGCAACGCCGUGUGGGCGAGGAAGGCCUUC
rnacentral:rRNA from 1 species